CCUACGGGAGGCUGCAGUGGGGGAUAUUGCACAAUGGGGGAAACCCUGAUGCAGCGACGCCGCGUGGGUGAAGAAGCGCCUCGGCGCGUAAAGCCCUGUCAGCAGGGAAGAAAAUGACGGUACCUGAAGAAGAAGCCCCGGCUAACUACGUGCCAGCAGCCGCGGUAAUACGUAGGGGGCAAGCGUUAUCCGGAUUUACUGGGUGUAAAGGGGGCGCAGACGGCGAUGCAAGCCAGGAGUGAAAGCCCGGGGCCCAACCCCGGGACUGCUCUUGGAACUGCGUGGCUAGAGUGCAGGAGGGGCAGGCGGAAUGCCUGGUGUAGCGGGGAAAUGCGUAGAUAGCAGGAGGAACACCGGUGGCGAAGGCGGCCUGCUGGACUGCAACUGACGUUGAGGCCCGAAAGCGUGGGGAGCAAACAGGAUUAGAUACCCUAGUAGUC
rnacentral:rRNA from 1 species